CCUACGGGUGGCAGCAGUGGGGGAUAUUGCACAAUGGGGGAAACCCUGAUGCAGCGACGCCGCGUGGGUGAAGAAGCGCCUCGGCGCGUAAAGCCCUGUCAGCAGGGAAGAAAAUGACGGUACCUGAAGAAGAAGCCCCGGCUAACUACGUGCCAGCAGCCGCGGUAAUACGUAGGGGGCAAGCGUUAUCCGGAUUUACUGGGUGUAAAGGGGGCGCAGACGGCGCUGCAAGCCAGGAGGGAAAGCCCGGGGCCCAACCCCGGGACUGCUCUUGGAACUGCGUUGCUAGAGUGCAGGAGGGGCAGGCGGAAUGCCUGGUGUAGCGGUGAAAUGCGUAGAUAUCAGGAGGAACACCGGUGGCGAAGGCGGCCUGCUGGACUGCAACUGACGUUGAGGCCCGAAAGCGUGGGGAGCAAACAGGAUUAGAUACCCCAGUAGUC
rnacentral:rRNA from 1 species